ACUUGUUAUUUUGUCAGUUAGCAAAACCACUUCCCUUCUACAACCAGCGAAACGAUCCUCUCAGAGCAUUUCUGAUCUGCUACGGAUUCCAGCAGAGCAGAAACCCCAUCUCACCAAAAAGCCCUCUUGGUGCCAAAGGAAAGAGCUCUACGGAGCUGCCCCUGCUCGGGCUGCCUGCGGUGUUUGGUGUCAGCAAACCGAAACUCCAACAAUCCCACCCGCUUCUGUAGCUGCUGCGGUGCCGCUGCCCCCCGUCUGGAGAAAACCCCAAACGAAGGAAGAGGCCCCAAAGGAUUGUCCAGAGGAAGGACAAGACAUAGCUUGUCCUGAACCCAACUCCAAGAAAGGAUUCCCAAGACACAAUAUAACCUGUGAGCAGGUACAACAGCCCUUUUCAAGGUGGUACUGCCAAGGAUGGGCUGAUCUACAACACGAGAUCAAGUGGAGCCCUCUGACUUUGAAAUGUUUACCAGACGCUGGGAAUUAAAACAGUUUUUCUCAUCCCUGCCAGUGCCCAA